AGGCUACCUUGAUCGAGUAAA
rnacentral:snRNA from 1 species